GAUGAACGCUGGCGGCGUGCCUAAUACAUGCAAGUCGAGCGAACAGACGAGGAGCUUGCUCCUCUGACGUUAGCGGCGGACGGGUGAGUAACACGUGGAUAACCUACCUAUAAGACUGGGAUAACUUCGGGAAACCGGAGCUAAUACCGGAUAAUAUAUUGAACCGCAUGGUUCAAUAGUGAAAGACGGUUUUGCUGUCACUUAUAGAUGGAUCCGCGCCGCAUUAGCUAGUUGGUAAGGUAACGGCUUACCAAGGCAACGAUGCGUAGCCGACCUGAGAGGGUGAUCGGCUACACUGGAACUGAGAAACGGCCCAGACUCCUACGGGAGGCAGCAGUAGGGAAUCCUCCGCAAUGGGCGAAAGCCUGACGGAGCAACGCCGCGUGAGUGAUGAAGGUCUUCGGAUCGUAAAACUCUGUUAUUAGUGAAGAACAAAUGUGUAAGUAACUAUGCACGUCUUGACGGUACCUAAUCAGAAAGCCACGGCUAACUACGUG
rnacentral:rRNA from 1 species